UUUAAAUUGAGAGUUUGAUCCUGGCUCAGGAUGAACGCUGGCGGCGUGCCUAAUACAUGCAAGUCGAACGAAACUUCUUUAUCACCGAGUGCUUGCACUCACCGAUAAAGAGUUGAGUGGCGAACGGGUGAGUAACACGUGGGCAACCUGCCCAAAAGAGGGGGAUAACACUUGGAAACAGGUGCUAAUACCGCAUAACCAUAGUUACCGCAUGGUAACUAUGUAAAAGGUGGCUAUGCUACCACUUUUGGAUGGGCCCGCGGCGCAUUAGCUAGUUGGUGAGGUAAAGGCUUACCAAGGCAAUGAUGCGUAGCCGAACUGAGAGGUUGAUCGGCCACAUUGGGACUGAGACACGGCCCAAACUCCUACGGGAGGCAGCAGUAGGGAAUCUUCCACAAUGGGCGAAAGCCUGAUGGAGCAACGCCGCGUGGGUGAAGAAGGUCUUCGGAUCGUAAAACCCUGUUGUUAGAGAAGAAAGKGCGUG
rnacentral:rRNA from 2 species